UACGUAGGGGGCAAGCGUUGUCCGGAAUUACUGGGCGUAAAGCGCGUGUAGGCGGGACGACAAGUCCGGCGUGAAAGGCUCGGGCUCAACCCGAGACGGCCGUUGGAAACUGUCGUUCUUGAGGGUCGAAGAGGAGAGUGGAAUUCCUGGUGUAGCGGUGAAAUGCGUAGAGAUCAGGAGGAACACCCAUGGCGAAGGCAGCUCGCUGGUCGGCCUCUGACGCUGAGACGCGAAAGCGUGGGGAGCGAACGGG
rnacentral:rRNA from 1 species